UCUGGACAACGUUUGGACUCUACGUAAAUGCGCCAACGGCCAGUCCCUUUCUGCGUUGUUCUUUGCGGUUAUUGUGAAUGGAGUGACCGACUUGAAGGAGGCAGAGAAUAGCAGAUCCUGGUCGAUCCACCCAGUUUUCCGCUGCCGUCGCUGCGUUGCCGACACGGAUGGAGGGAUAAGCAGCAGCCCAGACUGUUGCGUGAUGUAUG